rnacentral:rRNA from 1 species
CCUACGGGAGGCAGCAGUGGGGAAUAUUGGGCAAUGGGCGCAAGCCUGACCCAGCAACGCCGCGUGAAGGAAGAAGGCUUUCGGGUUGUAAACUUCUUUUAAGAGGGAAGAGCAGAAGACGGUACCACUUGAAUAAGCCACGGCUAACUACGUGCCAGCAGCCGCGGUAAUACGUAGGUGGCACGCGUUGUCCGGAUUUACUGGGUGUAAAGGGCGUGCAGCCGGGAAGACAAGUCAGAUGUGAAAUCCUGCGGCUCAACCGCAGAACUGCAUUUGAAACUGUUUUUCUUGAGUACCGGAGAGGUCAUCGGAAUUCCUGGUGUAGCGGUGAAAUGCGUAGAUAUAAGGAAGAACACCAGUGGCGAAGGCGGAUGACUGGACGGCAACUGACGGUGAGGCGCGAAAGCGUGGGGAGCAAACAGGAUUAGAUACCCCUGUAGUC